UAUAGCUCAGUUGGCUAGAGCGCUUGCAUGGCAUGCAAGAGGUCGGGAGUUCGAGUCUCCCUAUCUCCACCA
rnacentral:tRNA from 1 species